UACGGGGGGAAGCAAGCGUUGUUCGGAUUUACUGGGCGUAAAGGGCGCGUAGGCGGCCACAACAAGUCACUUGUGAAAUCUCCGGGCUUAACCCGGUAGCGGCCAAGUGAUACUGUUGGGCUAGAGUGCGGAAGGGGCAACUGGAAUUCUCGGUGGUAGCGGUGAAAUGCGUAGAUAUCGAGAGGAACACCGGUGGCGAAGGCGGGUCUCUGGGCAAUAACUGACGCUGAGGAGCGAAAGCAUGGGGGAGCGAACAGGG
rnacentral:rRNA from 1 species